rnacentral:rRNA from 1 species
GUGUGUUUUCUUUCUUGGUAUUGUAUAAUGUAUAUGAAAUAAAGAAAAAAUAAAAUAUUUUUUUAUGGUGUAUAUAUUUUAAAUGUAUGUAUAUUAUAUAUAUAUAUAUAUAUAUAUAUUUUUUUUUUCAUUUUUAUUCAAAUCAAAAAUACUGAGAAAUGUCUAGCAUAAAAAUAAAUACAUAUAUUUUUAUCAAUAUUAGAAUUGUCUCUUAUUAAUGAUUAAUAAAUAAUGGAAAAAAAAAACUGAAUAAAAGUGAUUUUCAAUACAUUAUUGAAUAAUAUUUGUUUUCAUUUUAAAAUAUUUAUUAUAAAUAUAUAUAAUAAAUUCUUUUAUACAACCUCAACUCAUAUGGGACUACCCCCUGAAUUUAAGCAUAUUAAUUAGGGGAGGAAAAGAAACUAACAAGGAUUUUCUUAGUAGCGGCGAGCGAAAAGAAAAUAGUUCAGCACUAAGUCACUUUGUCUUUAUGGCAAAUGUGAGAUGCAGUGUAUGGAACAUCUAUCUUCUAAUAUGAAAAAUUAUCGAUUUAAGUCCUUCUUAAAUGAGGCCAUUUACCCAUAGAGGGUGCCAGGCCCGUAUAACGAUAAUAAUUAUUAGAUGAUGUUUCCAAAGAGUCGUGUUGCUUGAUAGUGCAGCACUAAGUGGGUGGUAAACUCCAUCUAAAACUAAAUAUAACCAUGAGACCGAUAGUAAACAAGUACCGUGAGGGAAAGUUGAAAAGAACUCUGAAUAGAGAGUUAAAUAGUACGUGAAACUGCUUAGAGGUUAAGCCCGAUGAACCUGAAUAUCCGUUAUGGGAAAUUCAUCAUUAGAAUUAUAAUAUUUUAAUAUAUAUUAUAAUGAUAGUGUGCAUUUUUCCCAUAUAAGGACAUUGUAAUCUAUUAAUAUAUUGAAUUUAUCAUAAAAUAUGGCUUAUAGUUUAUUUUUAUUAUUAUGCUUGCAUUUUAACAUAAAAUAAAUGCCAUUCAAUUUGAUAAAGUAUUGAUAGAUUUAUAUGAAAUACAAUGCGUUAAUUUUUCGAAAUUAUAUAAUGGCACAAUUAUCAAUGAUUUUUGUGUUUAUUAUAAGCAUUUGUAUGAUUAACAAUGCGAAAGAUUCAGGAUACCUUCGGGACCCGUCUUGAAACACGGACCAAGGAGUCUAACAUAUAUGCAAGUCAUUGGGAUUUAUAUAUAAACCUAAUGGCGAAAUUAACUUGACUUGUAUAAAAUGGGAUUAGCUUUUAUACUAUUUUAUAGUUUAUUAACUCAAUCCCGGGGCGUUCUAUAUAGUUAUGUAUAAUGAUAUUUAUAUUAUUUAUAUCUCUAACUGGAACGUACCCUGAGCAUAUAUGCUGUGACCCGAAAGAUGGUGAACUAUACUUGAUCASGUUGAAAUCAGGGGAAACCCUGAUGGAAGAYCGAAACAGUUCUGACGUGCAAUCGAUUGUCAGAAUUGAGUUAUAGGGGCGAAAGACCAAUCGAACCAUCUAGUAGCUGGUUCCUUUCCGA